rnacentral:rRNA from 1 species
GAUGAACGCUGACAGAAUGCUUAACACAUGCAAGUCUACUUGAACUUCGGUUUGGGUGGCGGACGGGUGAGUAACGCGUAAAGAACUUGCCUCACAGAUAGGGACAACAUUUGGAAACGAAUGCUAAUACCUGAUAUUAUGAUUUUAGGGCAUCCUAGAAUUAUGAAAGCUAUAUGCACUGUGGGAGAGCUUUGCGUCCCAUUAGCUAGUUGGAGCGGUAACGGCUCACAAAGGCGAUGAUGGGUAGCCGGCCUGAGAGGGUGAUCGGCCACAAGGGGACUGAGACACGGCCCUUACUCCUACGGGAGGCAGCAGUGGGGAAUAUUGGACAAUGGACCAAGAGUCUGAUCCAGCAAUUCUGUGUGCACGAUGAAGUUUUUCGGAAUGUAAAGUGCUUUCAGUUGGGAAGAAAAAAAUGACGGUACCAACAGAAGAAGUGACGGCUAAAUACGUG